AUGAACGCUGGCGGCGUGCCUAAUACAUGCAAGUCGAGCGGUAAGGCUUUCACAGUUUAUAUCUCUCCCAGUUUAUUUGGGGUAAAGAGGUGUAAAGCGUGAAAGUACACGAGCGGCGGACGGCUGAGUAACACGUAGGAAUCUACCCCAAAGUGAGGGAUAACUGCUCGAAAGAGUAGCUAAUACCACAUGUGGUCCAAGGACUAAAGCUACGGCGCUUUGGGAAGAGCCUGCGUAAGAUUAGCUAGUUGGUGAGGUAAUAGCUCACCAAGGCGACGAUCUUUAGCUGGUCUGAGAGGAUGAUCAGCCAGACUGGGACUGAGACACGGCCCAGACUCCUACGGGAGGCAGCAGUAGGGAAUUUUCCACAAUGGGCGCAAGCCUGAUGGAGCAACGCCGCGUGCAGGAUGAAGGCUUUCGGGUCGUAAACUGCUUUUAUUUGUGACGAUUAUGACAGUAGCAAAUGAAUAAGGGUCGGCUAACUACGUG
rnacentral:rRNA from 1 species